rnacentral:rRNA from 1 species
UACGUAGGGGGCAAGCGUUGUCCGGAAUUAUUGGGCGUAAAGCGCGCGCAGGCGGUUAUUUAAGUCUGGUGUUUAGACCUUGGGCUCAACCUGGGGUCGCACUGGAAACUGGGUAACUUGAGUACAGAAGAGGAAAGUGGAAUUCCACGUGUAGCGGUGAAAUGCGUAGAGAUGUGGAGGAACACCAGUGGCGAAGGCGACUUUCUGGGCUGUAACUGACGCUGAGGCGCGAAAGCGUGGGGAGCAAACAGG